rnacentral:rRNA from 1 species
UACGUAGGGGGCAAGCGUUGUCCGGAAUCAUUGGGCGUAAAGAGCGUGUAGGCGGCCCGAUAAGUCCGCUGUGAAAGUCCAGGGCUCAACCCUGGGAUGCCGGUGGAUACUGUCGGGCUCGAGUCCGGUAGGGGAGUGGGGAAUUCCUGGUGUAGCGGUGAAAUGCGCAGAUAUCAGGAGGAACACCGGUGGCGAAGGCGCCACUCUGGGCCGGUACUGACGCUGAGGAGCGAAAGCGUGGGUAGCAAACAGG